rnacentral:rRNA from 1 species
GACGAACGCUGGCGGCGUGCUUAACACAUGCAAGUCGAACGGAAAGGCCCUGCUUUUGUUGGGCGCACGAGUGCCGAACGGGUGAGUAACACGUGAGUAACCUGCCCCUGACUUUGGGAUAACAUCAGGGAACUGGGGCUAAUACCGGAUAGGAGCUCCUGCUGCAUGGUGGGGGUUGGAAAGAUUCGGCGGUGGGGGAUGGAAUCGCGGCUUAUCAGCUUGUUGGUGGGGUAGUGGCUUACCAAGGCUUUGACGGGUAGGCGGCCUGGGAGGGUGGCCGGCCACAUUAGGACUGAGAUACGGACCAGAAGCCUACGUGACGCAGCAGUGGAAAACAUUACACAGUGGCCGGAAGCCUGAUGCAGCAACGUUGCGAUCGGGAAGACGGGUUAUGGGGUAUGAACCACUUUCUCCUGUGAUGUAGCGUGAGUGACGGUAAUGAAUAAAGAAGCAACGGCUAACUACGUG